GCUUUGCGGUGGGCUUCGUCCAGCGCUUCUUUUGCGGCCCGUCGACACAGUCUCCUAAUCAAAAGCUCUCCUUCGUGUUCUUCGAUUCUCUUCGAUCGUACGGGGACGAUCCAGAUUCUGUAACGGUAUGCGUUGUGAUUUCUUCGUCUUUAAUCCUAUUAAUUCGUAAGCCCACUCCGAAACCUUCAAUUGCGUUGUUCGUCGGUGAAAUCGGGUAUAAGUAUGUUAGUAUCUCUUCUCUGUAAAUCGCGAUCUCCACAUCUCUCUGCUGCUCAUCUAACUCAUAUUCAUCUCUCUUUAUGGCGAACUCGAAGAUAAUGCCAGUUUUUAUGGUUUAGUGUUUGGGAUUAUGUACCUGUUGUUGGUUAGAUCUUAAAAAGCUCGAAUCUUUACUGGUGUCUUUUUUUGUAUAUAUGAAACUCCUAAAUACGAGUCUUCACCACAGUGCUAAGUUUUGCAGUGCGUUGACACGCUUCGCACUGGUCUAGCCAUGGGCGCGGAUCGAGGAAUCCACGUUGAGGCCGAUUCUAGCUUCCUCCCUUUGACGAUUGCUAAGAUCUUGAGGGGCCUCGCUGAUGUCGAGUAUCCUGGAUAGAUUUUCCUCGGGAAAUAGAAAUCACCACCGCUUCUCAAACCUAACUCUGAAAGGAAAACCACAGAAUCUGAUGGGUGCCUUCUUUUCUAGGUCACGUUUGCGCAAGAAACGAAAAGUAGCUUUUCCAUGGAUAUGAUUCUUGACGUUAAGAAGCAAGUUCUGCAAAGUGAAUUCGUUAUCGUGUAGCUGUGCAGAUGAGCGACUGAAAGAGUCGAGGAACAUCAUUGCAAAAUAUCAAGAUAGAGUUCCCGUUAGUUAAAGUUCAUGCCUAGAUCAUUGUGUCGUGGUGAUUCGGUGUCGUGGUGAUUGGGUCUCAGCUGUCUUUUGCGGUCUCCUAGAAUUCAAAUGAUUAAUUACUCCAGUUUUGUUUCUGUGAUCUGAUUCACUUUGGUUAGUUUUUUAAGAGACUACCUCUUUUUCUUUCUUUCUUAGUUGUUAGAAUCAAAUAAAAAAAACUGUAAUUUCUGACUAUACAAUUUUAAGAAUUUGAAAAUAAAAUUAAUCCAAAUAAAAUGUGAUAUUUUUUUA